rnacentral:misc_RNA from 1 species
GAUGAAGAACGUAGCGAAAUGCGAUACGUAAUGUGAAUUGCAGAAUUCAGUGAAUCAUCGAAUCUUUGAACGCAUAUUGCGCUCUCUGGUAUUCCGGAGAGCAUGCUUGUUUGAGUAUCAGUAAACACCUCAACUUCCAUAUCUUUUUUGAAAUGGGAGUUGGACUUGAGUGAUCCCAACGCUUUUCCUCACCGAAAAGUAGCGGGUUACUUGAAAUGCAGGUGCAGCUGGACUUUUCUCUGAGCUAUAAGCAUAUCUAUUUAGUCCGCCUAAAAAACAGAUUAUUACCUUUGCUGCAGCUAACAUAAAGGAGAUUAGUUCUUGUGCUGACUGAUGCAGGAUUCACAAAGACAGGCUUCGGCCGACUUUGUAAACUCGAUCUCAAAUCAAGUAAGACUGCCCGCUGAACUUAAGCAUAUCAAUAAGCGGAGGA